rnacentral:lncRNA from 1 species
UGGAAGACUGUCUUGAUAGGAGACUCUCUCCAGAGAUUCUCUUGCUUCCUUGAUGAAAUAUGAGAUUGUGCAGAAAAUGUUCAUGUGGCAAGGAACUUAGGUGGCUUCUAGGGACUUCAGGAGGCCUCCAGUUGCUAAGGAGGGGGAUUGUAGCUGACAAGCAGAAAGAAGGCUAAGAUUGCAGACUCACAACCAGGAAAUGAAUUCUGCAAGCAACAUGAAUGAACUUGGAACAGGACAUCAGAAAAGCGAGAACUCUUCAGAGGAGUAGCUCCAGAAGUCUGCAUUGAGAUUCACUAGGAGUACGUGAUCCAGAUGAGAUUGCCCAUGUACAAGUACCGCCUUAUGUUUCUUUGGAAUGAAAAAUUCAACCUUUCCCUGCUGUCAGUCAUGUGGUCCCAGCUCCAAGAGCCCCCUAAUUGGAAUAAACCAAUAAGAGGUUGUCUUAAAAUGGACCGGUAACCAACCAGAGCCAAUGAGAUGUGUUGACCCAAGGACUUGAAUUAAUGAAUAUGGUUCUACAUACUACUAUCCUGCCCAGUUAACUUCACAUUGUUGGUGACAGAAAGCACAGAAGACAAGAAGCAAAACCUUCAAGACUGUCAUGCCCAUGGAUAUUAAACAGACCUCUUUUCCCCCACCUUCAUUACUAUUAAUUUUUUCCCUUUAACUCACAAAUAAAUUCUGUUGACAUCUAAAGGAAAAUGUUUUUGUUCUUGGUUGGCUGAAAACAGAGAAGGCAUGUUUGGACAAAUAAUAUAACCCACAAUCUUGAAAAAAAUACUUGAUACACCAGAUGGCUGAAUCUGCAUUCGCAAAACUCAAAAGAAUAGAGAGGUGUACUGAAUUCAGCAAAAAGACAUCUCAUAGUGCUAAACAUUGCAGGAAGAGGCAGACAGGGAUGUGCUUAGUAGCCAUCUAUUUACGCACAUACUGAGAAGCUCUUCUGUACCAGACACCUGAGAUUCCAUAUCCUUAUAGAGUUCAUAUUCUACAGGGAAAAAAUGACUAACAACAGUUAGUUAACAAUACUUGAGAAUAACAGUAAGAAAGGUCAUAGUAAUGUAGAAAUAAUAACUGCCAUUUUUAAGCUCCUGCCUUGUCAAGCAUAUUUUCAAUCUUAUUGAUCUCACAGCACACAUUGGAGAAAAUUAUACACAAAUGAGACAGGGGCAUAAGA